rnacentral:lncRNA from 1 species
GAUUCCUCGUGACUAGUUCCAGUACCAGCAGAUUGGAAGUUAGCCUCCCAGCCACCUAAAGACUCUGUACCACUCUCAACCUCAAUAGUUCUCACGGCCGUCUCAGAACUCUGAACAUUCUCAAACAAAUGCACAACAUUCUCAAACAAAUGCACAUUAUCACGAACCUGAAAAUCAUCAUUUCCGCUUCCAUUAUCAUUAUUUAUUAGCUGGGACUGCUCUACUGACACAGCAGAAGCACCAGCUCGUUUUCUUUCAGCCAAAAAAUUGUCAGG